rnacentral:misc_RNA from 1 species
GAAAAAAACACCAAAGCAUAUAGUCCUGCUUUUGGCACAUUUUCAUAGUCAUAAAUAUUUGAGAAAACACAAAAAAACCCUAAAGUGUAGGUACCAAGUGAUUAACAAUAUGAUAACUCAAAUAGUUCCUUUUGAUGACAGAGAGGAGGAGAAGAGGUUCUCCAAAAAAUUAACAUGUUACAUCCUCUGUCUCACAAUGCAUUAAACUAUACUACAUGUCACAACCCAAUAAUUUUACAAAACAAUAAGCUACCUCUUCCAACACGAAAUUAACUCUCAAUCAUAUAUCUUAUAACCUAAAUAUAUUCUCACAAGUACCACAACAAUUCAUUUUUCUCAUCAUCUCCAUUAUGUCAAAUUCUAGAUCAUUU